CCCAAGUCGUUUUCAAGUUAAGA
rnacentral:piRNA from 1 species